AGACGCGGGCCUGGACUGUCUAGACUGUCCUGUCUGAAGCUUUCUGAAUGCGGUUUUGGGAGGAAUCGCGCUAGUUUAUACGUUUUCCAGCUCUUCUAACUCUGGACGUCUUCUUACCGAGCUUGUUAGGUGAAAUCAGGCUGUCUCUUGUGCCCCUCGCCUUUCCUUUCCAGGAAUCCCAGUUAGUAUACUGCAUGAUAAAUACAGGAACUUGAAUGGAUUUAGAGGUUAAAGGAGUUGCUGCCGCUUCUGGGAGCCAAAUUCAGCCAUUCUUUGGAAGAAAGAAGCCUCUACAACAAAGGUGGACUUCUGAAUCAUGGACAAACCAGAAUUCUUGCCCACCAGUGGUCCCACGACUUGAUUUGGGAAGCCUUGUUGACUCUGAUGAUGAGGAUAAUUUUUCAUAUAUUCCACUUAGUACAGCAAACCUGCCAAAUUCAUCUUCUACUCUUGGCUGGGUCACACCAGGUCAAACUCCAUAUACUCAGUAUCAUCUAGAUAAAUUGGUUAGUAUUUAUUUGCUUAUCAAUUUUCAGAAUUUUAG
rnacentral:sRNA from 1 species